rnacentral:rRNA from 1 species
GUGGGGAAUUUUGGACAAUGGGCGCAAGCCUGAUCCAGCAAUGCCGCGUGCAGGAAGAAGGCCUUCGGGUUGUAAACUGCUUUUGUACGGAGCGAAACGGUCCGGGUUAAUACCCUGGGCUAAUGACGGUACCGUAAGAAUAAGCACCGGCUAACUACGUGCCAGCAGCCGCGGUAAUACGUAGGGUGCAAGCGUUAAUCGGAAUUACUGGGCGUAAAGCGUGCGCAGGCGGUUUUGUAAGACAGGCGUGAAAUCCCCGGGCUCAACCUGGGAAUUGCGCUUGUGACUGCAAGGCUGGAGUGCGGCAGAGGGGGAUGGAAUUCCGCGUGUAGCAGUGAAAUGCGUAGAUAUGCGGAGGAACACCGAUGGCGAAGGCAAUCCCCUGGGCCUGCACUGACGCUCAUGCGCGAAAGCGUGGGGAGCAAACAGGAUUAGAAACCCGAGUAGUCC